rnacentral:rRNA from 1 species
AGCGAACGCUGGCGGCAGGCUUAACACAUGCAAGUCGAACGGGCACUUCGGUGCUAGUGGCAGACGGGUGAGUAACGCGUGGGAACGUGCCCUUUGCUACGGAAUAGCUCCGGGAAACUGGAAUUAAUACCGUAUGAGCCCUUUGGGGGAAAGAUUUAUCGGCAAAGGAUCGGCCCGCGUUGGAUUAGCUAGUUGGUGGGGUAAAGGCCUACCAAGGCGACGAUCCAUAGCUGGUCCGAGAGGAUGAUCAGCCACAUUGGGACUGAGACACGGCCCAAACUCCUACGGGAGGCAGCAGUGGGGAAUAUUGAACAAUGGGCGCAAGCCUGAUCCAGCCAUGCCGCGUGAGUGAUGAAGGCCUUAGGGUUGUAAAGCUCUUUCACCGGAGAAGAUAAUGACGGUAUCCGGAGAAGAAGCCCCGGCUAACUUCGUGCCAGCCGCCGCGGUAACAC